UACAGAGGUCUCAAGCGUUGUUCGGAUUUACUGGGCGUAAAGGGCGCGUAGGCGGCGCAACAAGUCACUUGUGAAAUCUCCGGGCUUAACUCGGAACGGUCAAGUGAUACUGUUGUGCUAGAGUGCGGAAGGGGCAACUGGAAUUCUCGGUGUAGCGGUGAGAUGCGUAGAUAUCGAGAGGAACACCUGCGGCGAAGGCGGGUUGCUGGGCCGACACUGACGCUGAUGCGCGAAAGCCAGGGGAGCGAACGGG
rnacentral:rRNA from 1 species